GGGAUGGGGGAAAUGCAUGCAGAAACUGUCCGCUGCUACCAUCUCUGUCCCCUCCAAGUCUUGGAGCCCUGGAGAUGGCCUGACCCCCAUCCCCCGGCAUCCCUGUCGCCCCAGCCUCUGCAGGAGACCUCCGUGCCCGGAAGCCCAAGAGUGCAAGGCUCUGUGGAGUCUCUGGCAGUUGUGCCUGUGCGAGCAACCCUGUGCAGGUGGGCCUGGGUCUGUGUAGUUCUAGAACAGCGCAGAUUGGUGGGACGAACGCUACAUGGACCUCUGGAAAGCCUUCUGCGACCGUCUUUAUAUAUCCAAACUGGUAACUGCACCCAAACUCAUGUUGAAACUUAUCCCUGAUUCACAUGUUAUUGGUAUGUGGAGGCCAGAAGGGUGGGGUCUGGUGACGGACUGGGCGAGCAUGUGACAUCUUUGGCCUCCUUACUGUACGCCGGGAAGGCCCGGGCCUGAUGCUGGGGCCAUGCCCCUGGAUGCCCACUGCCCGUGAGCAGAGUAAAAUCCUAUCCUUUAUCAAUGACUUCUCUCGGGUAUUUUGUGACGAUGGAAAAUGAACUAAGACAGUAAUGCAACGUCUUAGUCAUUUCCCUCGUCCCGGACACACAACACUGCAACUUAAAAAAGGACAGGUUUAUUUUGUCUCAUGCGUUUGAGAGGUUUCAGCACAGGCUCACACACAGGAACGCCAUGGUGGGAGCCCUGCCUCGGAAGAGGGCAUCGCAGGGCAUGGCAGCAGCAAGCCAAGGAACAGCGGAGGGGCGGCCUCCAGGUCACGGCCCAGGGCCUCUUCCCCCUUCCUACCAUCAAGGUGGCUCUAGGGCCCUGUGACUCAGUCUCCUUCCAGACGCAAGCAGCUGGUCUAAAAUCCACAAAGUGAAAGAUGAGGCCUCCUCUCUGCUUCUCAGAGGCACUGAGUGCUAACAGUUCUUUGAGGAAAGGUUGGUAUUAUCCCCACUUUCCAGAUGGGAAAAUGGGGGCUGUAACAAGUUCAACAACUUGCCCAAACUAGCAGACCCUGUUGGCCUCUAGCCCACCCUGGAAGCUUCAGGUCUCACCCCAACAGUUUACCAUACAAAGUAGCUGCUCACUGAACUGCGGGUGUGCCCUCAGUGGUCAGAUAAGACCUCCAUGCUAAGUGUCCUAAGACUGGAUGCCCAGGGGUGAAGAGGGAGGUGAACCAAGGGGUAACAAACCACCAAGAGACCUUCUGCAUGCCUCCUGAGAACAGGUGUACAAUCCGAAUUCAAGGGCCCUGGGGCUAGGGGUACCAGUAAGAGGCUCCCUCGGCCUCCCCCUGCCAAGUGAAGGCCGGAGGAACUUCGGUGCAGCUCUGCCUGCUCUGCCUUGGUGCUCCGGCGCUCUGUCCUCCAAGGGCUGGGCUGGGGCUCAACUGAAGCCAGCACUGAGUGCCUCUGUGAACAGUGGACAUGCGUGGGCUCAGGACCCAUGACACCCUGUUCCUCCUGCCCCACCGGGAAAUGGCUUUGUCUUUUGUUUCUUUCCUAAGAAAUACGUACAUACCACAUAAAACUAGGACAAUAACAACAAAGGAAAAUGAAGAAACUACAGGCUGCGUGUCAUACUACGGCACAGAGAGAGCCCUGCCUAACACUGCAUGAUGAGUCUCCUCCCAUCCUUUCCUGGGCAUAUACACAAUUUUUUUUUUCUUGUUUGAAAAACACGAUAAAGUAGCUCCAACCUGUUUCCCCUACCUGCACUAUGUCACAGCAAUGGUUCUGUGUUAACAAGUAAUGGUCUCCAUCAUCAUUUUUUAAUGGCUCCAUGGUUGGGAUUUAUUAAACGUAAUUAAUCCAGGCCCCCACAACGGACAGUAGAACUACUUCCAAUUUUUCCCUCAUGAGCUGCACCGCAGCCAGCAUCUCUGCGCAGACACGUGCAUCAUCAGACCGUAAUUGGUUACUGCCUUAGGUAUAGUCCAGGAAGUGGAACUGCCAGGUCAAGGGAUGUAUAUAUAUUUAGGUGACGAUGCAGAUUGUCAGACUGCCCUCCAGGAACAACAGUCACUUCUGCAGCAUGGCACACAGGUGUCCUCAGGGCCAGGGCCUUGUAUUACACUCAGGAGUAGUUUUGUGGGUGAGGGCUUAGAAGGAGGCAUCUGUCAGCUCCCCGGGUUCCCAGAGUUGGGAGCUACAAGAGCGACCAUGGAGCUGCCCUCGGAGAUGGGAGCACAGAGCUGAGGACAUGGCCCGUGCUCCCUGGUCCUCAUCUCAGUGCCUCCUGUGCUCGUCCUCUGUAGGGCAGGACCAUGGGCCUGACUCACAGAUGUGCAUGAUCUGUUUAAAAGAAGAUUUUAAAAGCUUUUCUUCUUUUAAAAUAUACAUAACAACCAGGCAUGGUGGCACAUGCCUGUAAUCCCAGCAUUGGGAGGCUGAGGCAGGAGGAUCACUGUGCGUUCGAGGCUGGCCUGGGUUACAAAGUGAGUUCAAGGCCAGCCUGAUCUGCAUAGUGAGA
ensembl:lincRNA